AGUGAACGCUGGCGGUAGGCCUAACACAUGCAAGUCGAACGGCAGCACAGUAAGAGCUCGCUCUUACGGGUGGCGAGUGGCGGACGUGUGAGGAAUACAUCGGAAUCUACUUUUUCGUGGGGGAUAACGUAGGGAAACUUACGCAAAUACCGCAUACGACCUACGUGUGAAAGCAGGGGAUCUUCGGACCUUGCGCGAUUGAAUGAGCCUAUGUCGGAUUAGCUAGUUGGCGGGGUAAAGGCCCACCAAGGCAACGAUCCGUAGCUGGGCUGAGAGGAUGGUCAGCCCCACUGGAACUGAGACACGGUCCAGACUCCUAUGGGAGGCAGCACAGGGGAAUAUUAGACAAUGGGAGCAAGCCUGAUCCAACCAUACCGAGUGGGUGAAGAAGGCAUUCGGGUUGUAAAGCCCUUCUGUUGGGAAAGAAAAGCAGCAGGUUAAUACCGCGCUGUUCUGACGGUACCCAAAGAAUAAGCACCGGCUAACUUCGUG
rnacentral:rRNA from 1 species